GACGAACGCUGGCGGCGUGCUUAACACAUGCAAGUCGAACGGAAAGGCCUGCUUUCCCUUGUGGAUUGCGGGUACUCGAGUGGCGAACGGGUGAGUAACACGUGAGUGAUCUGCCCCCAACUUGGGUAUAAGCCUGGGAAACUGGGUCUAAUUCCCGAUAGGACUGCAGGGUGGUGCCUGUGGUGGAAAACGAUUUUCUAGUGGUUGGGGAUGAGCUCGCGGCCUAUCAGCUUGUUGGUGGGGUAAUGGCCUACCAAGGCGGCGACGGGUAGCCGGCCUGGGAGGGUGGACGGCCACAUUGGGACUGAGAUACGGCCCAGACUCCUACGGGAGGCAGCAGUGGGGAAUAGUGCACAAUGGGCGGAAGCCUGAUGCAGCGACGCCGCGUGGGGGAUGACGGCCUUCGGGUUGUAAACUCCUUUCGGCCGCGAGGAAGCCACCUGGUUGGAAGGGUGGUGACGGUAGUGGUAGAAGAAGCACCGGCUAACUACGUG
rnacentral:rRNA from 1 species